AAAGUAACCAUUGAACGAAAUGUUCAUAAGGCAACUCUGCCUUAAACGUCAAAAAAGUAAUUAAAUUCGUGUAUUCUGCUGCAAAAAUGGAAGCCAAUUCUAAUAAAUUAACAAGAAGAACAUGGACAGCAGAAGAAACCAAAGCGUUUCUGGAUGCGUACAGCAAGAGGCAAUUUGAGUUUGAAAGUGCCAAACUCAAAAAAUUUGCCAUGUAAAACGUUUUGGAAGACCUAAUUGCACUGGGAGUUUUGACACAGCCAACAACUGUAGAAAUGUUGAAAAUUAAACUAAAAAAUCUAUUGAGGUCCUUUAAGACCUCAAUAGACAAUAAUAAAAAAAAGGGGCAUCUCUCAUCCGAGCUACAUUCGAAGCGGAGAUGAUGGAAAUCUUCGGCUCGCAGCCCAUUAUAAACAAUAGUCAUUCCCUGAAUUUAUCUGACAGACAAAUUCAAUGCCUGCCAAUGGGGAGCUUUUCAACAAAAGAAGAUUCAAGCCCGGCAGCGUCUAUUAGUUCACCCACACCAACAACAUCUGCCAGUGCAAUGGGGAACGCGUUGGAAUGCCCGACAGUAUCUCCUGCGGCAACGUCGAAGAGAAUGGGCCCAAGGCAAAAAUACUGGCAGAUGAGAGAAGAAAGGGCUGCCGGAAAGUAUCAACUUUUAAAGGAAUAUACUGCCAGCAAAUUAAAAAAAAUGGACGAAGCGGAAAAAGGAAAAGAAGCAAGGUUAGUAAGGAAAGAAAAAUUGCUAAGGGAAUUAUUUAAUAAACCAUAAGUUUUAUUUGAAUUUACAUAAAGCUGUGGUUCAUUAAGUAAUUCUUUUAACAACUAUAAAUUUAUAUGUUUAGUUUCUUUGUUUUAUAUUUUUAUAUUUUUAAUGUCAAUAUGUUCCUACAAGUGAAUUUUUUGUGAUUUUUAGUUUGUAUGUAAAUAUGUUCCUAGAAGUGAAUUUUUUGUGAUUUUUAGUUUUUAUGUAAAUAUGUUCCUUUAUAUACAUUUGUUGUGAUUAAUGAAAUGUGGUUUUUUGAAAUGUAUGUAAUAGGUUGUUUCUGUUUAUUUUGAAAUAUAUGUUAUAUGUUUAUUUUGAAUGCAGUGAAUUUUCUUAUUUUGUUUUGAUGUUUGUUCAAAUGUAUGCAUAUGCAUAAAUAAAACACGCUAGUACUUUUGUGAAUGAAUUUUUGUUUAUUUUAAAUUUAA